AUGUCUAAAUCGCAUUCUUUAGGCUUCAGCUGGUUACCUCCAGGGGUCAGGAAGGAAUUGCCCCCUCGAUACGCAGUUGUAAUUGUGGGGUGGGGCGUGGCAGGUUGCCUUCCUGUGAAGCAUCAAAGGUUGGCCAUGGUGAGAGAUGGGAUACUGGCAGGGAUGGACUAGUGUUGUGAGGUGGUGCAAAGCAUCCUCUGUCUUACAUACCUGGCUGGUGGGUCUUGCUUACAUGUGGAGGGUCUAACUGAGCCCCAGAUUUGGGGUCAGGAAGGAAUUUCUCCCAAGUCAGCGUGGCAGGGACUUCGGGGGUUUUCACCUUCCUCUGCAGCGUGGGUCAGCUGUCAAGAUACCCGGGCAGGUCUCACCUAAUCACUUCCUGCCACCACAGACACCUCGGACAUUGCUGGCAUCUCAGACUCUCCUGGUCUCUGCCUGUAGGGACAGUUAAUUAAAGUCAGCUUAAGUUUGGUUAAGAAAAUAAUAUCUGCUUUAUGGUUUGUGGCUAGUACGGGAAAGGCCCCAGUCAACACAUAAAGGAAGGUCAUGAGAAUAAUAAGUAAUAUUGCUUAUAGUGUGGGAAAGCCGUUUGGACUGCUCAAGUGAAAAGCUGCAGUAAUAAGACAAAGGGAAACUGUCUUAAAAGAAACAAGCAAAAACCUUCCCAUGGGUCUGAUGGUAAGGGGGGAGGAGGAGAUAAGAAAGGAGGCCUUGGCAGAAGGGAAGGAGCAAGGCUGAACUGUUCAAACUGGGAUUUGCUAAAGCUAGCAAGUUAGCUGAGGUGUCUAGAGAGAGCUGUGAAUGUGAAGGUGCUUUGUCAGGCCUGACCUGAUCACACCGGGCACAGCCGGCUGAGACGCUCAUCCCCAAGUCCGGCCCGUUUUUCAACGUCUUUCUAACUAAGGACCAGAGGACGUGAUUGUAGCUGUGGCAGUCGUCCAGGAGAAGAAUGAAAAAUGACAAAGCCAGCGCCCCUCGGGAGCAAGGGCAGGGGCUGUUGGUAGCGUCCAGAGAGGCCGGUGUGAUUGUGGGUGGAGAAGGCGCGUCAAUAAAACGCAGAAAUAACAAUCCGAAUUUGGGGAUCUGAGGAAGCCGCUGUCAUUGAAGUGACAGCCGGAGCCCAGCUCAGUCAGGGUGUGAAAUAAACAAUGCCACUGGAUAUCGCACACCAUUCUGCAAGUGGCCUGAAGACAAGCGAAAAAAAGGUGAUUGCAUAAGAAUUGACAAUUGUAGCAUCAGUCCCCAUUUAGGGAAUGGUACCUUCAGUUUUCCAUAUGUGCAUGCUAGGCAUGAGAGGCAUUACAUGUGUUUUGUGUUUCCUGUAAUAUUUAAUCAAACAAGGGUUUAGCAAUGUGUACCCUACAGGGCGUCAGAGAAGGUAGCCAUAAGGGUGGCACAAAUACCGUACAUUGGAAAAAAAACCACAAUGCCCCACAGUGGAGGCAGGAUCCAGUAAUGGACGGGUAUUAAGGCCCCUUAAAGAGCUGUUCAAUUAUGUUCAAUUUAUACAUGUACCUGUGCUGUUCAGCUUGACUUCACUGCAUUUGCCAAAGGGUUUAUGUCCACCAGGGUUUGGCCAAUUGUCACGCACAAUGAUAAAGGACUCCUGGAGAGACUUUGUCGAUAGAAAUGCAGAUAUAAGCAGAGUCUGAAAGAAUGGAUGAAUUCUCCCCUGACAGCUAGCUAGAAGGGGGAGAGACUUCAGGUGCAAACUGCAUUUAUAUGAACACACCUUCUCUGCUUAGAUAUCCAGCAGGUAGAGCGGUGUUGCUCAAGUAAUCAACUUGGGCUGGUGUUGGGUUACAAAUCACUUUAGUACUGAGUGUAGGGAUAGUGAAAUGCUGUUAUCAAUGGGGUGGCAUUAUUGUAUGAAUGAAAGGGAGCAGAACUGUGCUUAACCUGUCCCAAAUGAGGGGACCACCCUCAGCCGAAAGGACCUUGUUAAACCAGGGGCUUGAAUGCCAGAGCCCGUGAAAGUAAAAGGGGUGGGGACAGGUGUUCUAGCCAGGAGGUGUGAACUCGCCCUAGGGGGUCCCCCCCCCACACUGGUUUACCCCAUUCCUCCCCACUGCUCAAAGAAAGAGCUAAAUAGGCUUCAUUAUGUGCCUCUUUGUUAUUUUAAAUGCUCAAUCAGAACUGAAAUCAGUUGUGGUGGGACCGUGUCUCUGCCCAGCCUGCGAAGAGCUGAAAAUCACUGAGACGGAUGUGCAGAGGUCACAGCAGAGUGGCAGGUGGCAACAGAAGGUGACUGACAGUUGGCUGGCGAACGAGUGGCUGGUGAAGCGGUGAGCAGAACAAACCGCUGGCGAGGCAGUGAGGAACCGUGGCUGGCGGAACAGCCAGCAGAGAGGAACCAUGCCUGGUGGCCCAGCCAGCCGGCGAGGAGCAGCUGCUGGUGAGACGGCCAGCUGAAGCAAGUGCUCAGAUGCAGAGCAAGCAAGGUGCCUUCUUCCGCGGGUGGGAGGUGAACUCACACAGAUGCACCUCUGAACCCUGGGUCCUCUCUGACCAAGGACAACCCCCGUGAGUGGGGUAUGGAGAGGAAGCGGAGAGAGGCACAGAAAAGGAACUUUUGGUUGUAGAACUCAAGAACAUGAGACAGACGACUCUGCCCCUGGCACUCUGGGGUGGGCGUCCUGCUCACAGUGUUAUGUUUAUGAAUCCUGUUUGUGGCAUUUUCCCUAAUUAAUGCCAAGUGACUUCCCUCCAUUCAGUAAAUUUUCUUUUCUACACUCAGACUCUGUGCUUGCGAGCGGGGAAGUAUG